GAUGAACGCUGGCGGCGUGCCUAAUACAUGCAAGUCGAGCGAACGGACGAGAAGCUUGCUUCUCUGAUGUUAGCGGCGGACGGGUGAGUAACACGUGGAUAACCUACCUAUAAGACUGGGAUAACUUCGGGAAACCGGAGCUCAUAUCGGAUGAUAUUUUGAACCGCAUGGUUCAACAGUGAAAGCCGGUCUUGCUGUCACUUAUAGAUGGUACCGCGCUGCAUUAGCUAGUUGGUAAGGUAACGGCUUACCAAGGCAACGAUGCAUAGCCGACCUGAGAGGGUGAUCGGCCACACUGGAACUGAGACACGGUCCAGACUCCUACGGGAGGCAGCAGUAGGGAAUCUUCCGCAAUGGGCGAAAGCCUGACGGAGCAACGCCGCGUGAGUGAUGAAGGUCUUCGGAUCGUAAAACUCUGUUAUUAGGGAAGAACAUAUGUGUGAGAAAAUGUUCACAUCUUGACGUUACCUAAUCAGAAAGCCACGGCUAACUACGUG
rnacentral:rRNA from 1 species